rnacentral:rRNA from 1 species
CAGCCGCCACGGUAAUACGAAGGUCCCGAGCGUUGUUCGGAAUCACUGGGCGUAAAGGGAGCGUAGGCGGCGUGGUAAGUCAGAUGUGAAAUCCCGGGGCUCAACCCCGGAACUGCAUCCGAUACUGCCAUGCUAGAGGAUUGGAGAGGUAGCUGGAAUUCUUGGUGUAGCAGUGAAAUGCGUGGAGAUCAAGAGGAACACUCGUGGCGAAAGCGAGCUACUGGACAAUAACUGACGCUGAGGCUCGAAGGCCAGGGUAGCGAAAGGGAUUAGAUACCCGUGUAGUCCCUGUCUCUUAUAC